UACGAAGGGGGCUAGCGUUGCUCGGGAUCACUGGGCGUAAAGCGCACGUAGGCGGAUUGCUAAGUCAGGGGGUGAAAUCCUGGAGCUCAACUCCAGAACUGCCUUUGAUACUGGCGAUCUCGAGUCCGGGAGAGGUGAGUGGAACUGCGAGUGUAGAGGUGAAAUUCGUAGAUAUUCGGCAAGAACACCAGUGGCGAAGGCGGCUCACUGGCCCGGUACUGACGCUGAGGUGCGAAAGCGUGGGGAGCAAACAGGG
rnacentral:rRNA from 1 species